ACUCAAAGGAAUAGACGGGGGCCCGCACAAGCGGUGGAGCAUGUUGUUUAAUACGUCACUAACCGUAGAACCUUACCAGGGCUUGACAUCUGCUGACAUCCCAUGAAAGUGGGCUUUCCCCGCAAGGGGACAGCAAGACAGGUGUUGCAUGGCUGUCGUCAGCUCGUGUCGUGAGAUGUUGGGUUAAGUCCCGCAACGAGCGCAACCCUCACCCCAUGUUGCCAGCGGUUGAAGCCGGGAACUCUUGGGGAACUGCCUGGGUAACCGGGAGGAAGGUGGGGAUGACGUCAAGUCAGCAUGGCCCUUACGCCCUGGGCUACAAACAUGCUACAAUGGACGGUAGACAGAGGGAUCCGAGGUCGCAAGACGGAGGCAAUCUCAAAAAUCCGUUCCCAGUUCAGAUCGCAGGCUGCAACUCGCCUGCGUGAAGUCGGAAUCGCUAGUAACCGCGGAUCAGAUAAGCCGCGGUGAAUACGUUCCCGGGCCUUGUACACACCGCCCGU
rnacentral:rRNA from 1 species